rnacentral:rRNA from 1 species
CCUACGGGAGGCAGCAGUGAGGAAUAUUGGUCAAUGGACGAGAGUCUGAACCAGCCAAGUAGCGUGAAGGAUGACUGCCCUAUGGGUUGUAAACUUCUUUUAUAUGGGAAUAAAACGUUUCACGUGUGGGAUUUUGUAUGUACCAUAUGAAUAAGGAUCGGCUAACUCCGUGCCAGCAGCCGCGGUAAUACGGAGGAUCCGAGCGUUAUCCGGAUUUAUUGGGUUUAAAGGGAGCGUAGGUGGAUUGUUAAGUCAGUUGUGAAAGUUUGCGGCUCAACCGUAAAAUUGCAGUUGAAACUGGCAGUCUUGAGUACAGUAGAGGUGGGCGGAAUUCGUGGUGUAGCGGUGAAAUGCUUAGAUAUCACGAAGAACUCCGAUUGCGAAGGCAGUUCACUGGACUGCAACUGACACUGAGGCUCGAAAGUGUGGGUAUCAAACAGGAUUAGAUACCCUUGUAGUC